rnacentral:rRNA from 1 species
AGUGAACGCUGGCGGUAGGCCUAACACAUGCAAGUCGAACGGCAGCACAGUAAGAGCUUGCUCUUACGGGUGGCGAGUGGCGGACGGGUGAGGAAUACAUCGGAAUCUACUUUUUCGUGGGGAUAACGUAGGGAAACUUACGCUAAUACCGCAUACGACCUACGGGUGAAAGCAGGGGAUCUUCGGACCUUGCGCGAUUGAAUGAGCCGAUUUCGGAUUAGCUAGUUGGCGGGGUAAAGGCCCACCAAGGCGACGAUCCGUAGCUGGUCUGAGAGGAUGAUCAGCCACACUGGAACUGAGACACGGUCCAGACUCCUACGGGAGGCAGCAGUGGGGAAUAUUGGACAAUGGGCGCAAGCCUGAUCCAGCCAUACCGCGUGGGUGAAGAAGGCCUUCGGGUUGUAAAGCCCUUUUGUUGGGAAAGAAAAGCAGCAGGUUAAUACCCCGCUGUUCUGACGGUACCCAAAGAAUAAGCACCGGCUAACUUCGUG